GUGUGUGUGUGUGUGAUGAGUGAUCUCAUGUCGCUAAUAUGUCUCUGAUCCGGAUCAAGCACCAAAUUAGAACACACAUGCGCUUGAUCUCAUAUCAGGUUUUCUUGGCUGAUCUGAUGUGUCCUGGUAUGUUAAUUAGAACACACGUGCGCUUGAUCUCAUGUCAGGUUUUCUUGGCUGAUCUGAUGCGUUGUGUGUGUGUUCUGCAAAUAUAUACUUGCUGAUGAGCUUCAUCUUAUGCUGUUAUUAGGCUAAAGUAAUAGAGGACAGGCUUGAUUUCAACAUGUCAUUCGUUGUUGAUCCAAAAAGCGACAGCUCAGGAGAGGAGUUGUCGUUGGAAGCAGAUGACG
rnacentral:lncRNA from 1 species